rnacentral:snoRNA from 1 species
UUACUUUCAUUUUCAGAAGUAACUGUUAUAGCAUCUUCCUCAGUAGUCUAGAGAACUUAAUGCUUAUAUAGGUUCCUCUAAGGGACCUUGGAGAUAGCA